UGACUUUCUUGGAUUUGAGGUUAGCGC
rnacentral:piRNA from 1 species